rnacentral:rRNA from 1 species
GACGAACGCUGGCGGCGUGCUUAACACAUGCAAGUCGAGCGGUAAGGCCCUCGGGUACGACGAGCGGCGAACGGGUGAGUAACACGUGGGUGACCUGCCUCUAGCUCUGGGAUAAGCCUGGGAAACUGGGUCUAAUACCGGAUAUGACUCCACGGCGCAUGUUGUGGGGUGGAAAGCCUUGUGUGGCUAGAGAUGGGCCCGCGGCCUAUCAGCUUGUUGGUGGGGUGAGGCCUACCAAGGCGACGACGGGUAGCCGGCCUGAGAGGGCGACCGGCCACACUGGGACUGAGACACGGCCCAGACUCCUACGGGAGGCAGCAGUGGGGAAUCUUGCGCAAUGGGCGAAAGCCUGACGCAGCGACGCCGCGUGA